rnacentral:lncRNA from 1 species
UGUGGUUGAUAACUUAGGAAAUAAUGUUUUGUAUAUUGAUUCUCUUAAUAAUAAUAACUUGGAUAAAGCAUCAUUAUGGCAUUGUCAUCUUGGACAUAUAAGCAAGAAAAGCAUAGGCCAACUCCAAAAGGAUGGAGUCUUGGAGUCAUUUGACCUAAAGUCAGAUGAUAGUUGCGAAUCAUGCUUACUUCGAAAAAUGACAAAGUCUCCCUUCACAGGUUCUUGUGAGAGGGGUGAAGGUUUGUUGGAUCUUGUACACACGGAUGUGUGUGGACCAUUCAAACAUGCCACAUGGGAUGAUAAUCGUUAUUAUUUGACUUUUACUGAUGAUUACAGUAGAUAUGGAUAUGUCUACUUAAUCAAAUAUAAGUUAGAGACUUUCGAAAGGUUUAAGGAAUUUAAACAGGAAGUUGAGAAUCAAUUGGGCAGGAACAUUAGGAUGUUUCGAUCCGAUCGAGGUGGUGAGUAUCUUAGUUCAGAGUUCCUCGACUAUCUUAAGGAAUGUGGGAUUGUCUCACAAUUGACACCUCCCAGGACACCGCAGUUGAAUGGUGUAGCUGAGGGGCAUAAUCGAACCUUGUUGGAUAUGGUUCGUUCCAUGAUGAGUCAAGCUUCGCUACCAAUCUCAUUUUGGGGGAAUGCCUUAGAGACUACCGCCCAUAUCCUUGAUCUAGUCCCUACAAAGAAAGAUGCCAAAACUCCUCAUGAGAUGUGGACUGGUAGAGUACCCAAACUAGACCACAUCAAGAUUUGGGGUUGCGAGGCUUUUGUGAGGCGCGAGUCUCAUGAUAAGCUAGAACCCCGGAGCGAGAAAUGUAUUUUCAUCGGGUACCCACAAAGAUCCUUUGGUUACCUCUUCUACAGACCUAGUGAUAAUGUGGUCUUUGUAGCAAGAAGUGGAGUCUUUCGAGAGAGUGAGUUUAUAAGCCAAGGAGACAGUGGGAGGCAAAUUGACAUUAAUGGGAAUCUUUGUUACAUGUGGCUAUAUUCAUGAGGUAGCUAGUUGGCAUUACUGGGAAUCUUUCAACAGCUGAGGACUGGGUGGGUUCGGGAGCCUAGAAAAGCCUAGGUUAUGUUGCAAUGGAUUAGUAAUAUGGUUUAGUGAGUACUAGCAUAAUGGUUUGAAGAAGUCACUUAGAGGAUUUAAGAGGAUUGUUGAGGAAAGUAUGGAUAGGUGUGGAAGGUAGUAUUGGCCCAUACUACUAAAAACACAGGAUCCAUACUCGAAUCGUUGAGAGUCUUUUAGAAUCUAAGAAGCUUAUCAGAGGUGAAUUCUUGAGUACAUUCUGAUUAUUGGCUUGUUGAUUUUCACUUGGGAGCUGAGCUCACAGGGAAAUAGUUUAGGUUCGGUUUUCGGCUCAGGUGCAGUUUCUGAGUCGAUUAGCGAGCAGUUGCCUCUCCUCGGAUAUUUUUUUGUUUUGUUUUGGAGAUAGUGGAUGAGCGCUUGGGCGCGUUCCGUGCGGAGGUUAUGGAUAUCAUUGGAGCCCGCUCUGUCUUUCUGGGAUUUUCGUGCUUGUGGAACUCCUGCGUUCCAUGGGGAGAAGGACCCCAUUGUCAGUAGGAGGUGGUUAGCAGAUAUGGCUAACGCGUUCAGAACGAGUUUUAGCCCCGAGGAAGGGAAGGCCAGAUAUGCUUCCGGCCUGUUGAAGGAUUGGGCACGUGAUUGGUAGGAGGAGAUCGGUAGUGAGUUGGGUGAUCAUGUAAUUGAUGUUAUGUCAUGGGAUGACUUCUAGACCAGGUUCCAAGCUGAGUUUGCACCGACGAUUGAGGUGCAGCAGUUGGUGCAAGAGUUCCUGGAUCUCUGCCAGACUACUGAGACUAUGGAAAAGAUCACUGCCUAGUUGUGGGAGAGGGCUUUAUUGGUACCACAGUAUGUAGAAAAUGAGGAGAUGAAGAAUGUAAGGUAUCACGAUAUGUUUCGGGAUGAUAUCAGGAAAUUUGUGAGUAAUUCAGGGUGCGAGACCCUGAAUGAUAUGAUCUCUAGAGCCCGAGAAGAGUAAAUUGAUUUGAUGCACAUUAAGAAUAGGAGGUCAGAUCAGGUGCAUACUUUGGAGGGUCCCGGGAAGAGACCCAAGACUUCUGACCAGCAUUCGAGAGGUCAGCAGGACCGGAGUCAGUGUAGAACGUGCGGGAGACUACACGAUAGGGCUUGUCGUUCCAAGGGUUUGGGCUGCUAUAAGUGUGGCCAGUUUGGUCACGUCAGCAAAGACUGUCCACUGGGAGCAAGUCUGUUAUGCUUUCGAUGUGAUCGGGUGGGCCACAAGAAGGCCGAUUGUCCGACAUUGAGGGGAGGAGCAGUGAGCGCACCUGCUCCGACUAUUUUGAGGAUCACCGAUGGACGAGAAGGUAGGGAAGGUGCCCCAUCAGAGAGGAGUUGAUUUUUACUGGUAUGUAUCUUUUGCCUUCUUUCAGGUUAUUUAUAUUUGUGUUUAUGGUUGUUGGAAUCUGGCAUCAGUUUGGGUAAAGCAUGUAUCCGGUUCAUUUCUUUUCUCAUAUAUGAGUUACAUCUUCAUGUAGUGUCAUAUGCCAUUUUCAUACCGUAAAUUUCAAAGUGGCUAGGGAAGGGUCGUUUUCCUUUUGUUGGUUCGGAGUGUUUGGUGUUAUCUUGGUUUAAAGUCGAGAUCCGUUCAGGGGCAUUAUGUGGAAGGUUUGCAUUUAGUGUUCAGCCGGGUGACUACCCACCCGUGUCAGGAUUCGUAGGGUUUAGUCAUUGUGCUCAGAUUGACUCAUGGGGUCAGCAAUGGAAGUGAUCUACUAUCUAUGUUUUGUUCUGAGCAUCGGUUAAUUGCACUUCAAGAUCUGAGUACAAUAUCAUUUCAAGGCAUCUGUAGUAAUCAGUAUUGCUGAGAUUCAAAAAGUGUUCAUCUAGUCUUCAGAGGUUAUAUAGUCAUGUAAGAUCGGGUAGUAAUGAAUAGCUAGCAUUAGUAAGCGUUGGUUGUCAGUAGGUCGAUCAUUGGGAGGUAGGAAGGAUCGAAAAUCCUUCCAUUUCUCGUAUCCCGUGGAGACUUAGUCAGAAGAAGUGGGGGAUAACCGUUCAGGUACCCAGGAUAGAAGCAAGCGUAAAAUUGGGAUGAGCUCGUAUCCCCAUUAGGAAAGGAAAAGGUAGCCCAAGUGGCUGCCUGUAUGAGGGAUAAUGUGAAUUGGAAGUUUGGGAAACGUCCUGGCUUUGGGACCACAUCUGAUUGAUGUGUAGAAUAUUAUGGGGAACCAGGUGAACGAUCCCAGUCAGGACAUGAAUUUAGUGUAGGAUGUUAGUGUUGGAUAAGGUGUCUAUGUCCAUAACUAUUUCUGGUAAGUACUUGACCCGACCCGGCAUCGUCCAUUUGGGUUGCAUGGCACCAUGCACUUGCAUAAACUAAAUGAGAGAAAUAACACAUAUGGUUUAUUAAUAUAUUAUAAGUUCUAAUAUAUUAAUAAUAUUAUUUAAUUAGUUUUGAUUAAGAAUUAAUUUAGAAUUAAUUAAGUGAUCAAAAGAUAACUAAUUAAAUAUAUGGGUAGAUUAUGUAAAUCUUCCAUAUCUUAUAUAGUGGGCUAAGAGGCUCCAUGGAUUAUCAAAAUGGGUUCCACCCAUAAGAUGCUCCAUGGAUGCUCUAUGGAGUUAACCCAUGGAUCAAGAAAUGAAGAGUCUUGGAACAUUAGGGUUUACCUAAUGUCACACACUAUAUAAGCAAUGUAACUCUCCCCAAAAUCGGUUACACACACAAAAAAGAAAUAAGAGGGCUUGGCCGAUUUUGCAUGUGUUAGAGUAUUCUCUCAAGUUUAUUCUUUGCAUUUGGUGUUGUGUGAAGCAUUUAAGGAAUCACACUUGAGGUGCUAGGCUCACAAGGUUUCAAGGAACACUUUCAACAACAAGGUAUGUAGUUCUAUCUUUUAUACAAAGAAAAUUGUACCCCAUGUAUGCUAGAUAGGUUCAUAACCUUGGAAAACAACUUUGCAUGAUUAUUAGACAAACAUAGAUCCAAGGUUAUUAGGGUUGCAUGUACACUUAGGAAGUGUUAGAAUGCUCAAAACCCAUCAGUGGUAUCAGAGCCUAGGCUUGUUUGUUUGUUAUUUGUGCUUAAAAGUUGAAGAAAGUCGAAAAUCUUGCUGUCUGACUGAUGGACUCGGCGAGUCCAUGGGGAGGACUCGUCGAGUUCAUGUGUAUCUUCAACCUACUCGGCGAGUAGGUUUAUGCACUCGGCGAGUAGGGUCGACAGAGUGCAGAAUUUCGACUUGAGUUGCUGGAAAUGGAUUAGAAUCAUUACCCUAAAAUGUUUUGGUACUUGAAAACUUAUUUUAGAAGGUGUAAUGUCUUUUCUAACUCAUUUACAACAACUAGUUAUCAAAAUUACAAAGAUUAAAUGUGAUUUUGAUUCUUGAAAGUGUUCAUAUUCAUAUUCUUGUUCUUAUGAUGUUUAGAUGAUCAUAGGAAUUAUUUGUAACCUAUGUGGUAGAUUAAUUCAUGAUCAUAAUGUGUUUUAAUGGAGUCCAUAACUUGUCCUCAAGUUAUGGAAAACCAAAAGUCUCUUGAAUAAAAAAACCAUUAAAAGAACACAAGAGUUAGAAAAAUGAAAAGUCCUCAUUUUAUUACUCUAUUAAACUCAUAAGUUACAAGAAAUGAAAAGUUUUGAAAGUUUACAAAACUUGCCCUCAAGUUUUGGAACAAGUAAAGUCUUGAUUAAAACUUUAGUUCCAACCCUUAGAAUUUUAAAAGUUAAAAUUCAACCCUUAUACUUAUAAUAUUAUAAGUUAAUAAUAAUAUAUAUAUGUAUAAGAUCAAAGUCGUCUUACCGCUAGUACGCCUCAUUCACGAAGCCAGUCUAUAAGGUGGGUAUAAGGUUGUUGCCUAUAAAAUGGCAACUUAAUGGGUGUCCACUCUCACCCACCGCUUGCUUGACUGGUGGAGGGUCGUUAGCCGAACGGGUAAGACAAGGACUUAUAAAUUCUCAUUAAAAGUAUGAUGAAUAUUAUAAAGUAACUAAAUGUUUUAUUAAAUUCCCAAUCUUAGUUACUUUAGGAAAAAUGUGAAUAAGGUGCUAAUCCAUGAAAUUACACUUUACACUUUGUUUAAGUCAUUAGUGGAGCGUGUGUGGUUAACCGACACACUAAGUUGAACGUAACAAGGUAGGUAAAGGGUGACUUAAUGUUUAUCAUAGUAUCGAUGGAGCGUGUGUGGUUAACCAGCACAUCGAUUGAGGGGUAAUACAUUAAGGGUACCAAGUAAUUUGCAUGGUUACUUCACGCCUCGUUUUGUGAUCCUCGGCAUGCUAGUCACAAAACUUAGAGGGUACACUCGAGAUUGAAACAUGCCUUUGAAAAGUUCAUUGAAUCUCAAAAGAAUCUAGGAGUUUCUAAGAACAAAAUUAAAUAUUUUUAAUAUUUCGUCUUUGGUGGAAAUUGGUGAAUCGUCAUUCACCUACCUUUCAAAUAUGUUAUUACUUAGAUUACGGCAUACCUCUUCUAAGUAUAAUAUAUUGUGAUUGGGUAGUAGCCUUAAUACUACAUUUCGGUGUUUUAUUAAGGACUAUCUCUAUUUCUAAACAAAACUUUUAUUUUCAGAUGUCUGCAAACACUACUGCUUCUGGCUCUAAUCCUAAUGGCUCCUUUUCACUAAGGAACUUGUGUGGGAAAGUCACUUUUGAUGGAUCCAACUUUAAUGAAUGGAUCAGAAACAUCCGAAUGAUUACCCGCUACGAGGACAAAGAAUAUGCCCUCGAUAAGGAGCUUGAGGAGAUUGAUGAGAAAUUUGCUACUCCUCAAGAGAUUGUUAGGGUGCAAAGUUCUUCAUUCAUGACUUUGUAAUGUUUGACUUUUGUAAAACCCACUUGCAUCUGGAGUAUUUGCCUUUAGACCCAUUUGUCUGUCACAGUGAGAGAGAGAGACAUGUAAACACCUCUAUAAAUAGUGGGUUCAUACCACUUGUAGAGGUGUGCUUGAGAGAUGUAAAAGUGAGUGUGUAAGUGUGUGUUAUUUAUGUAGUCUAGAUUUAGAUCCUUUUUGUGUAACACCAUAUACAAUCAAUACAUCUCUUAAACACCCAAAUCACCAUGUUCAAUUGUGCAAACUUUAAUUCCGCAUGCCAAACCAUGUUCUUUGUCACUACAAUUGGUAUCAGAGCGGGUCUUCAAGAUCAAGGUGAUUUUUGAAGAACGAUUCUCGGUUUGGCAACAUUCGUCGCAAUUUGAACAAUUUUGGUGAGUCUCUCUCUAUGAUCUCUAUUAAUUUCAUUGAAUUCGUGCGUUGCGUUUUUGAUUUGUGAUCGUUUAACUCAUUGGAUCAAAUUUUUCUUGAAAAACUCAUUUGUUGUGAUCCAAUAUUUUUUUUAGAUCAAGGUCCGAUCCAACUUCAUAUUUGUUCGUUUGAUUUGAUUCUCAAACUGUGACUGUUCGUUUGAAUCGAGAUUUAAGCCCAAAAUUUAUUAUGAUUCAAUCAUUUUCUUGAUUUAGCCCAAAAGUAUUUUGUGAUCCAUUUUUCGAAAUCUACUAUUCAUAAAUCAUUUGUGAAACAACCCGUCAUUUCAGGUCAUUAAAAAUCGAGUCGUGUAACCUCUUGGAAAAGAUAAUUGGGAUACCAUCGAAAAAUGAAGUAUUCAAAAGCUCUGGUUGGAGUACGCUAUGUAGUAGAUAUCGUCUUAAGAUUUCCAAGCAUAUAAAGAACACUAAAAUCCGAGUUAUAACGAAGAAGUUAUGACCAUUCUAAGUUUUCCGACAAAAAUCGGCAAUAUGAAGUUACGUAAAAACACAAAGUUUCAAUAAAAUAGUUUUUUUGACCUUAGGUGUCUAAAUAAAAGUCAUAGAUAUCGUUAAACUGCAAAAGUUCAUAAAAAGAACGCCCAAAUCCGACUUCGUAAAUUGAAUUUAUGAUUUUUUUAAGUUCGGCUUAGCAGCAGGCAGCUAAAAACUCGAAUCGGAGAUCGAGCGACUGUUAGCCGGAAUGACCUAAACGAGAAUCAAAGGUCUCGACAAUGGUAAUUCAGCGGUAAAAAGUCUGGCAAAAACUGACGUCAGAUAAAGAAGUUGUGAAUUUCUAAAAAAAUUCCUUAAACACAGCCUUUUAAAAAUAAAUAAUAAAAAUAAUUUCGGAAUUUGCCGACGGAAUCUAAACGAAAGUUGUAGAUCUUAGUCUCACCUACGCGUGGAUAUAAAGAACGUCGAAAACGGAGUUCGUAUGAAGGAGAUAUGAAUUUUUGAAGUUUAAUAAAUAAUUAAUAUAUAUUUUUAAUUUUAAACUCUUGGUAAUAUCCGAAGAGGAGUCAGGAUAGGACCGAGGUACGCCCUGCGUACCCUCAUACGCCCCGCGUACUCAAAUCAAGGGCAUCGGUUCGACCACGUCGUCCCCUAUGCGAGCUAUGCCCCGUCCCAUCCGAGCUCCGGGGCAGUCGAGGACUCGGUCAUGCAUGACGCACGGGUACGCCCCGCGUACGCCCGUACGCCCCGCGUACCGAGGCCUCUCAGCCCCUAUAAAAGGGAUGCGAGGGUUCCGGGAAAACUUGCUCAUUUCCUCUCGUUUCUCUUGCGUUUUGCCUCGUUUUCCGUGCCCGUGCUAACCCGAAGCCCUGGUCAUUUUGCCCAAGUCCCAAAGAUCGUUUUUACUCCCGAGAUUCCCUUGAACCCCGAGAAAACUCCGUUUUCCCGAGCCGAAAUUAUGCUCGGUUUCCAUCUCGCUUUCUUCAAACCUUGAGGUAAGUUCAUACCCCUACAAACACAUUUUUUUUAAAUACAUUUUAAAUGCUUUUUAUACUCUUUUAAGGGGGGGAAUACAAGUAAACAUACGGUUAUUAUCGUGUAUUUCAUAAAUUUUCACUGUACUCGUUUUUAUCAAAUGAAUCACAUGUGAUUCACUACUACUAUGUGAAAACUCUUGUCACAUUUUGCAUGCACUAGAUUUAUACAAAGUAUUUAGCAAUUCCAAAGCAUCCUUCGUUGCUAAACCGUUUUAAUACAUUUUAAAAACUUAUGAUUUAUGCAUUGUCGAACAUUGUGAAAAAGGAUAAACUUUGCAUACGAAACUACUACUUUAAUACAGACUUAGUUGAGAAUCCGUGAGACGUGUACAUCUUCAAAUAAUACCUUUUUGCUAAAAGGUACCGCUUCAAGUCCUGUCUAUAACCAGAGUCUCCCGUUCGGAGAACGUGUCAAAUGUGUAUAGAUCUAUACGGGAAGUGAUGAUCUCGCGCCCUGACUGUUAGCUACAGUCCGUCCUUUGGGGUGACAGUUUGUCAUAACGCUACGACGCCUGAAGAACGUCGCUACAGGCAUAUUAUGUUUAGUAUGGUUAUAAAACUCAUCGGAUAUACAAUUAUUAUAGUACUUCUGAUUGAUUAAUGAGUAGUUAUUAAAACUAGUCUUCAUCUAACAAACUAAAAUCUUCUAAUAGGUUUUAUUAUAUAAAUCUAUGCUCUAACUCCCUAAGGCAUGUCUUUUGCUUUCGGUUUUUAGUCUGGGACAUUAGGCUAACUAUCACUUUAGGAAAAUAUGGGAUUUUCCCGGUAUACAAAACAAACAACUAAUAGGAAAAUAAGGGAUUUUCUUGAUUUAACUAUCCAUAUUAUUCAAUACAUAUAUUCUCAUGCAUUUCACACUUUUAUAAGAAAAUAAGGGAUUUUCUUGGAAAACAUACACUCAAUUUGGAAUGGCAUACAAACUUUCUAAACUACUUAUGAACUCACCAACUUAAUUGUUGACACUUUCUCUUUGAAAUAACUUGUAUUCUCAGGGAACCGCUAAGCAGGUUUGGAAAUCAACUUUUGGGGAUUAACGCGCUGGCGUUAAUUACUUCUUUUGAAAGAUGUUUAUGCUUUUAUCUUUUGGGCAUGUAAUGAAUACAAUGAUGUAAACAUUUUAAAAACCUUUAUAUAUGUAUGGUGGUGUGUACUUUCCUUUCUAUGAACUGUUAUGAUACUGAAUAUGACGUCCUCCGCCCCCGAACGUUUCCGCCGUUCUGGUUUGGGGGUGUGACAGAUUGGUAUCAGAGCAUCGUUUAUAGUGAAUUAAGUAUAUCAAAACCAUUUUUGGUAUACAACUAUAAACUCAACUGGGCAAAAACACUCUGAGAAGAGUCAUACUUUUGAAAUUAAAUUUAUUUAGUUUUUGUAAAGUAAGCAUGCAUUCAUUUCGUACUAAUAACAGUUUCACAUCGGACCAUUUUAGAAGUAUUAUAAAUAAGUUGUGCAGUGCAGGUACGCCUUGGGACAUGUAAUCGGAACUGGGAAGGAUAUAGCCUGAUCAACUAUAUUUGUCCGAGAGCCGACUAACGUGUGCCGAGGAGUGUCUGCAGUGGACAACAAAUUUAAAACUUACCAAAAACAUAUCGUUAAAUAAUACUAAGGGAGUAUUUGAGUAUCAACAACCAUUAAACUUAAGGGUAAAUUUCAUGUACUCUAGCUUAUAGUAAAUUCUUAACCCUAUUCUCGUACAGACUCAAUGGCUGGAUUCCACCACCCCAAUGACCCCUACUACCCCAACCAAGGUAAUGGAGGAUGGAUCGAAGAAGAUCCCAAAGAAGACGAAGAACCUAUAGACUUGGAUGAAGGAGAUGACUCUGGUACAGAUUCAGAGCCAAAGGUUAUCAAUCCACCUGCCCCACAACCUCCUGUCCAUGUGAGGAACUUCCAAGGACCCAAUCCUGUGUGGGGGAGUCACCUCCACCAUUGGAGCCAACAACAAAGCUUACGCCCUCCCUACGGCAUGUGCCGAGACUUUUAUGAUGUCAGGGGCGGGGCUUGGAUGAAGGAGAUGACUCUGGUACAGAUUCAGAGCCAAAGGUUAUCAAUCCACCUGCCCCACAACCUCCUGUCCAUGUGAGGAACUUCCAAGGACCCAAUCCUGUGUGGGGGAGUCACCUCCACCAUUGGAGCCAACAACAAAGCUUACGCCCUCCCUACGGCAUGUGCCGAGACUUUUAUGAUGUCAGGGGCGGGGGAUCGGCGGACCGAGCACUUCCAGUCAUGGUUGGCAAAAUAGCCAACCAGUGCUAUCAAUCCGGAGUUCAAGCCAACCGGAUCUACGAAAUCAACGUAGAAGUGCAGGUUCACACUUCUGACAUCCGUAGGCUAGAUGGGAUUCAGGACCAUGCCCAACUCCAAACUGAGGCAUUUCAAGCACAAAUGAUUGCAGCCCUAGCCGAAUUAAGGAAACAACAAGCCGCUUUUGAUAGGCGUCUAAUGGAGUCGAAGCAAUCGGAUGCGGAGUCAAGCUCCAAGCGCAACCUACGUCGCAAGUAGUGCUUGCCAAAAUUUCAAAUUUUGUUAUAAAUUAGGACUUCGGAUAAAAGUAUUACUUUCUUUAAACUUUCUGUAAUCGGAGACCUUUAGAAAGGUCAAAAAAUUUUGUCUAAACUCGGAUGUAACACAACUAUAUGUUUAAAAUAUAUAGGGAAAACCUCUUUUCUGUUUUGAUUAUGUGCAGUUCGUCCAAUUCAUAAGUACAUCUAUUCAAACUUCAUUUAUAAAUCAGACUCAGAACCCUGUGUUGGCCAAACCCAAUCCUUAAACUAUUAAAGGAAGUUAACUCAAUAUCAUUCAACUUGCAAUUACCAAAAUUUAUAAUGUCUCAUUUUCUUUUGGCAGCGCGAUGCCUCCUCGUCCAAACCUGAGACCCAGACCGGGCACGGUGCCACCACCACCUCCACCACCAACGUAUGAUCCGGCCAUGGUCCAGGCGGCUAUCACAGCAGCAGUAACAGCAGCUCUCUCACAAAUAAACUCCAAUGCAAAUGGAGGUACAUAAAGCAGCACGAAUCAUUCAAAUCAUUGCACCGGCCGUGGUCAAGUGAGGGAGUGUACCUACAAGGAGUUCUCCAACUCAAAGCCAAAGACUUUUAAUGGCAUGGGAGGAGUCAUUGCACUAAUGCAAUGGUUCGAAAAGACCGAAACAGUCUUCGAGAUCUGCUCGUGCCAAGAAACAAGCAAGGUCAAGUUCGCUGCUUGCACCUUCAUAGAUCGAGCCCUCACUUGGUGGAAAAGCCAUGUGAAUUCGGUGACGCUCACUGUCGCCAAUGCCAUGAGUUGGGAGGAUCUGAAGGUUCUACUACUGGAAGAAUACUGCCCAAGGGGCGAAGUGCAAAAGCUUGAGCAGGAGCUCUGGAAUCUGAAAAUGACUGGGUCUGAUCUAGUCACCUAGACAGCUAGGUUCAACGACCUCGCUGCAUUGUGCCCUACCAUGGUCAACCCAGAAUCAAAGAAGGUUGAAAGGUACAUUUGGGGGUUGUCACCCCAGAUUCAAGGGCAUGUCCUAGCUUCCAACCCUAUCACCUACAACAACGCUAAACGCCUGGCUCAGCGACUCAUCAACCACGGGGUAAAACAAGGUACCAUUGCAACUACCGCCAAUCCACCUAAGGAGGCACAGGGCCAGAAUAGGCCUUGGAAGAAGAGAAGGGGGAAAACCGUAUAGGAGAACCCCAAGAAACAACAAGUAGUAGCGAUCCACGCUACUACUGUACCUACCAAUACUGCCCCCACAAGCUCAUACAAUGGGAAAUUUCUGAAAUGCAACCAAUGCAACUUCCACCACCACGGUCUUUGUCGUGACCUUCAAUGCACCAGGUGCAAUAAGAAGGGACAUACAGCCCGCUAUUGCAAAGAGCCAACCCAACAACCCGCCCCCACUACUAAUACCGGAGUAAGCCGCGCCUGCUUUGAGUGCGGAGACACGGGGCACUACCGCAAGGACUGCCCGAAGGCAAACAACAGGAAUACCGGCGGAAGGGGCCGAGUAUUCGCAAUGGGACAAGAUGAAGUCGUUGCGGACCCCACUGUUGUUACGGGUACGUUUCUUCUCGAUAACUCGUAUGCAUGCAUUUUGUUUGAUAGUGGAGCGGAGAGAAGUUUUGUGAGUCACAAUUUUAAAGGCCUGCUAAAGCCAUUACCACAAUCAUUAAGUGAACCGUUUAUAGUAGAAAUGGCCAACGGUAAAACCGAAGGCACCAAGGAGAUAUACUUAAACUGUACUCUAACUCUAAACGAUAAUCCCUUUACAAUCAGCCUCAUGCCAGUCUCGAUUAAGAGUUUCGAUGUCAUCAUUGGCAUGGAUUGGCUGAGUUCUCAUCAUGUAGACAUUUUAUGUUACGAUAAGGUUGUUCGUCUUAAUCUGCCAACCGGCGAAACUUUCAUUGUCUUGGGCGACAAACCCAGUACCACUCUUCGUAUCAUCUCAUGUAUCCAAGCUCAGAAGUGCCUACGCAAAGAGUGUCACGCGUUUUUGGCACAUGUUGUAGAUGUGAAACGCGAAGUCCAGGACGUCAAGAAUGUGCCCGACGUAUGCGAUUUUCCCGACGUUUUUCCCGAGGACCUUCCGGGAAUACCACCCGCGAGACAAGUCGAGUUCAGAAUCGAUCUGGUUCCCGGAGCUACCCCAGUAGCCAAAGCACCCUAUCGAUUAGCCCCGGCAGAGAUGCAGGAGCUAUCCAGCCAACUGAAUGAGCUACUUGGAAAAGGAUUCAUCAGGCCGAGCUUCUCGCCAUGGGGAGCACCCGUCUUGUUCGUGAAAAAGAAGGAUGGAUCAUUCAGGAUGUGCAUCGACUACCGAGAACUCAACAAACUUACCAUCAAGAACCGAUACCCCCUACCCCGAAUCGACGACUUAUUCGACCAACUCCAAGGAGCCAACUACUUCUCCAAGAUCGAUCUGAGGUCGGGAUAUCACCAGCUGCGAGUCCUGGAGAGCGAUGUUCCCAAGACGGCCUUCCGAACGAGAUACGGACAUUACGAGUUCGUAGUGAUGCCGUUCGGACUAACCAAUGCCCCGGCCGUAUUCAUGGAUCUAAUGAAUCGGGUAUGUCGUCCAUUCUUGGAUAAAUUUGUGAUAGUAUUCAUAGACGACAUACUCAUUUAUUCAAAGAAUAAAGAAGAGCAUAGUCAACAUCUGAGACAAGUCUUAGAGACGUUACGGACUGAGAGACUUUAUGCAAAAUUCUCAAAGUGUGAGUUUUGGAUUAGAAANUCGAUCUGAGGUCGGGAUAUCACCAGCUGCGAGUCCUGGAGAGUGAUGUUCCCAAGACGGCCUUCCGAACGAGAUACGGACAUUACGAGUUCGUAGUGAUGCCGUUCGGACUAACCAAUGCCCCGGCCGUAUUCAUGGAUCUAAUGAAUCGGGUAUGUCGUCCAUUCUUGGAUAAAUUUGUGAUAGUAUUCAUAGACGACAUACUCAUUUAUUCAAAGAAUAAAGAAGAGCAUAGUCAACAUCUGAGACAAGUCUUAGAGACGUUACGGACUGAGAGACUUUAUGCAAAAUUCUCAAAAUGUGAGUUUUGGAUUAGAAAGGUGGACUUCCUCGGUCACGUAGUCAGCAAGGAAGGAAUCCACGUGGACCCAUCAAAAAUCAAGGCUAUCAAAAACUGGUCUGCACCAACUACUCCAACAGAGAUUCGCCAAUUUCUAGGUCUUGCUGGUUAUUAUCGAAGGUUCAUUCAGAAUUUCUCCAGCAUCGCAAAGCCUCUUACCGCUUUAACCCAGAAAGGUGUGACCUACAACUGGGGAGAAAAGCAAGAUGCUGCAUUUCAGACUUUGAAACAGGCCCUUUGCAGUGCACCCAUCCUUUCUCUUCCAGAGGGGACCGAAGAUUUUGUGGUGUAUUGCGACGCUUCGAAGCAAGGACUGGGCUGUGUGCUAAUGCAGAGGGGAAAGGUUAUUGCAUAUGCCUCACGACAACUGAAAACGCAUGAGGUCAAUUACACCACUCAUGACUUAGAACUUGGAGCGGUGGUCUUCGCUCUUAAAAUCUGGAGGCACUACCUAUACGGUACCAAGUGCACUAUCUUUACAGACCACAAGAGCCUCCAACACAUCUUCGACCAGAAGGAGUUAAACAUGAGACAGCGACGUUGGGUCGAAUUGCUCAACGACUACGAAUGUGAGAUUCGCUAUCAUCCGGGAAAGGCAAACGUCGUGGCCGAUGCCCUUAGUCGUAAGGAGUACUCUGGCCGAAGAGUGAAGUCAUUAGCCAUGUCGAUCCAUUCGCACCUGUCAGCACAAGUCAAGGAAGCUCAAAUAGAGGCCUUGAAACCCGAAAACGUGACAGGUGAGACCCUUAGAGGAAUGGACAAGAACUUAGAAAUCAAGAGUGACGGAGCACGCUACUUCAUGAACCGAAUCUGGACACCCAAGUUUGGUGGAUUCAGAGAGGUAGUUAUGAGCGAGGCACACAAGACUCCAUACUCCGUACACCCAGGGUCAGACAAGAUGUAUCUAGAUCUCAAGCAACUCUACUGGUGGCCAAACAUGAAAGCGGAGAUUGCUACCUAUGUGAGCAAGUGUUUGACUUGCGCCAAGAUAAAAAUAGAACACCAGAAACCCUCAGGCCUACUCCAACAACCUGAAAUACAUGAGUGGAAAUGGGAGCAGAUUUCCAUGGACUUUAUAACGAAACUGCCCAAAACUCAGGGUGGCUAAGAUACUAUUUGGGUGAUCGUCGACAGACUAACCAAGUCCGCUCAUUUCUUACCGAUCACGGAAACUGAUAAGAUGGAAAAACUAUCAAGAACCUACAUCCGGGAGAUCGUACGACUUCAUGGAGUGCCGAUGUCCAUCAUCUCAGAUAGAGACAGCAGAUUCACUUCCAGAUUCUGGCAAUCAUUGCAAAAAUCCAUGGGAACAAGGCUGGAUAUGAGUACAGCAUACCACCCACAAACUGAUGGACAGAGUGAGAGAACAAUCCAAACCUUGGAAGACAUGUUGCGAGCAUGUGUAAUCGACUUUGGUAAAGCAUGGGAUGUUCACUUACCUUUGGUCGAGUUCUCUUAUAACAAUAGUUAUCAUACUAGUAUCAAGACUGCUCCAUUUGAAGCCCUUUACGGCCAUAAGUGCACAUCACCUCUAUGCUGGACAGAAGUGGGCGACACGCAAUUGGCAAAAGGUCUAGUCCCAGAUAGCACCCUAACUGGUCCGGAGAUCAUCAGAGAGACGACUGAAAAGAUCGUGCAAAUACGAGAACGACUUAAAUCCUCAAGGGAUAGGCAAAAGAGCUAUGCCGACAAAAGACGUAAACCCUUGGAAUUCCAGAUUGGCGACCGUGUACUACUGAAGGUCUCACCCUGAAAGGGCAUGAUACGCUUUGGAAAAAGUGGGAAGCUAAAUUUGAUUCUCAUAUUUGUUUGUUUGAUUUGAUUCUCAAACUGUGAUAGUUCGUUUGAAUCGAGAUUUAAGCCCAAAAUUCGUUGUGAUUCAAUCAUUUUCUUGAUUUAGCCCAAAAGUAUUUUGUGAUCCAUUUUUCGAAAUCCAUUGUUCAUAAAUCAUUUGAGCCGAAAAUUGUUAACCUGUUACUGUUCAUUGAUCAAUUAUUAGGAGCCCAAUUAAUUCUUUUAAAAAAUCUGAUAUCGUUGAUUGAGAUCGGAAGACAUCAAUUGGGAUUAUUAUAAAAACACUGUUUCGAGAUCGACUUGUAACUUUGCUUAUCCAGUUGUACCAUCGAACACUUAUGUCUCAAAUCACAAUUGAAAUUGUUCUUGAAGUAUAAUCGUAUUGUUUCAUCUUUGAUUGAUUCUUUCAGAUGUUCAAAUAUUCAUCUGUUGUCGCUUAUUUUAAGAUCGCUUCUUCCAUCUGACUAUCAAUAUUUGUUUGAUCUCUAAAUUGGAAUCGAAAUUGAAGUGUUCGUUCACUUAUUAUCAUAUGUUUGUGUUCAUAUGAAUCCAGUUUAAUCAAUUCAUUCUUAUCGAUCGAUCAUUGCUCAUUGAAUUCAUCUUGUGAAUCGAUUCAUUACAUUGAGUUUAAUCUCAAAAAUUGAUUACGAUCAAGAUAUCAGUUGUUGAUUCAAUUAAAGAGUCAAUUUCAAAGUCAAAUCUCAGUUCUAAUGGUUCCAAGAUUCAAAAUUGAAAAAGAUUCAGAUGAAGAUGGGUUCAAUUUGAGUUUUGAUGACGAGUUUUUGAUGUGUCUGAAUUUGAUUUUGAUAGUUUUUAGUGUUGAUAUGGAUCUGUUUUGAAUUGAGAACAAAAACGUGAAAGAAGAACUAUGAGCGAUGGUUUGAAAUUGAAUGAUCAAGAACAAUUGACGAAUGUAUGAAGAACAGAUGAUCGAUGCGAAGUCAAGCAAAAUUGAAUUUGCACUAAUUGUUUUUAGAUUCGCAUAUUUUGAUGUCGAUUAGUGCGAAUUUGGUUUGUGCAAGUUCGCAUCGGGGUCUCAAAAAUAAUGUUUCAUUUGAUGACUGGGUUGGUAUAAAAGUGUUUCAUUCGCAUUUGGGUCUUAUUUUUGGGUUCGCAUAUUGAUCUUGUUUUGAAUUGAAGAUUUAUUUUGACGAACAAAACUUGGAUUGUGAAUGAAAUGCGAACAAUCGAUGGGUAUAAGGAUGUGAUAUGAAGUUCGCAUUUGUCUUCAACAGCAGUUCGCAUUUGAUUAACUGGAUUGAAUGUUCACAAAUAGUGAUAUGGUUCGCAAUUUGGAUGUAAAAUAGGAAGUUCAUUUGUAAUCUGUUAUGUUAUGGAGAUAUUCGCAUCUGGGUUUCAAAACUAAUUUUCGCAUUUGGUUAAAGAGAUAACAUUGGAUUCGCAUUUGGUUAUAGUGAUUGUGUUCGCAUAUUUGGUUAAUUGGGUGAAAGAUGCGAAGCAUUUGUAAGGGGCGUGCGAAUGACGAUGCGAAGUUUUCACUGGUUAAUGAAUUGGGAAGAAGUAAACAAAUAUUUUCGAAUUAGGUCCCUUGUCUUUUCAAGAAAAGACACAAUUGGUCCAACUUUGCAAAUGGGGUUAUAAAAUGACAAAAAUGCAGAAUUUCCAUUUCGCAUCCCUUUAGUCUUCGCAAGAUGAUAAAUUUUACCCAGUUUCGCAUUUGGGGUAAAAAUUUUGAGAAAUGGGAAUAUUUUUGAAUCUGGUCCCUGCAGUUUGUUCGAAUUCACACAUUCUACCCAGUUUCGCAAAUGGGGGUGUGUUUCGCAUAUUUGGCUGUUUUUAGCGCAACAGGUCACUGCAAAAUUUUGAAAUUGUCAAUUUCUACCCAUUUUUGAAAAUUUUUGUCAAAGGCAAUCCGUGAACGAAGCUAAAAAAAAAAUUCAGUAUUUUUUGGAUUUUCCGGAUUGAAGCACAAAGUUUAUGCCACAUGUUAAGGGGGAUUUUAACAUGAAAAAUUCCGAAUAGAGCAUGUUCUUUUUCCUUGGAGUUUUAUAAUCAAAUUUCGAUUAUAAAAAGGGGGAGAAGUUUUAUAUGGAAAUUCGAACUUGAAUUUUUCAUAUUACGCUGAUUUGAAGACCGAAGUGAUCUUGAAGUUUUGAAGCCUACGAGAUGAUGCAAUUGGAAGUUCGGAAGUGAUGUAUUCGAAAGGGGUUUGGUUUAUUGAAGAUUUUUGGGGUGUGUUUUUAUGCGCAACUUUGGGUGAUUAUUUGGAGUUUGGAAUACUCUUGAGCAUUCGUUGCUGCUUGGUUUGUAUGGUCUCACAUCCUAGAGCCCAAAUUGAAGAGUCAUGGAAGAAUUGAAGAUUGAAGUUUGUUUCGACAUGUGUCACCUUUGAGGCUCGAACCGCGUAGUGCUUGAUUUUUGAAGAUUUGAAGUGGUUCAUUCACUCCUAACUUUGAGGGGAGUAUGUUAGGGUACAAAGUUUUCCAUGAAUGAAUUUGUAAUGUUUGAAUUUUGUAAAACCCACUUGCAUCUGGAGUAUUUUCCUUUAGACCCAUUUGUUUUUGUUAGAGUGAGAGAGAGACAUGUAAACACCUUUAUAAAUAGUGGGUUCAUACCACUUGUAGAGGUAUGCUUGAGAGAUGUAAAAGUAAGCGUGUAAGUGUGUGUUAUUUAUGUAGUCUAGAUCUAGAUCCUUUUUGUAUAACACCAUAUACAAUCAAUACAUCUCUUAAACACCCAAAUCACCAUGUUCAAUUGUGCAAACUUUAAUUCCGCAUGCCAAACCAUGUUCUAUGUCACUACAAUUGGUAUCAGAGCGGGUCUUCAAGAUCAAGGUGAUUUUUGAAGAACGAUUCUCGGUUUGGCAACAUUUGUCGCAAUUUGAACAAUUUUGGUGAGUCUCUCUCUAUGAUCUCUCUUAAUUUCAUUGAAUUUGUGCGUUACGUUUUUGAUUUGUGAUCGUUUGACUUAUUGGGUCAAUUUUUUUUUUGAAAAACCCAUUUGUUGUGAUCCAAUAUUUUUUUUAGAUCAAGGUCCGAUCCAAUUUCAUAUUUGUUCGUUUGAUUUGAUUCUCAAACUGUGAUUGUUCGUUUGAAUCGAGAUUUAACCACAAAAUUCGUUAUGAUUCAAUCAUUUUCUUGAUUUAGCCCAAAAGUAUUUUGUGAUACAUUUUUCGAAAUCUACUGUUCAUAAAUCAUUUGAGCCAAAAAUUGUUAACCUGUUAAUGUUCAUUGAUCAAUUAUUGGGAGCCCAAUUAAUUCUUUUAAAAGAUCUGAUAUCAUUGAUUGACAUCGAAAGUCAUCAAUUGGGAUUAUUCUAAAAACACUGUUUCGAGAUCGACUUGUACCUUUGCUUAUCCAGUUGUACCAUCGAAGACUUAUGUCUCAGAUCACAAUCGAAAUUGUUCUUGAAGUAUAAUCGUAUUGUUUCAUCUUUGAUUGAUUCUUUCAGAUGUUCAAAUAUUCAUCUAUUGUCGCUUAUUUUAAGAUCGCUUCUUCCAUCUGAGUAUCAAUAUUUGUUUGAUCUCUAAAUUGGAAUCGAAAUUGAAGUGUUUGUUCACUUAUUAUCAUAUGUUUGUGUUCAUAUGAAUCCAGUUUAAUCAAUUCAUUCUUAUCGAUCGAUCGUUGUUGAUUGAAUUCCUCUUGUGAAUCGAUUCAUUACAUUGAGUUUAAUCUCAAAAAUCGAUUAUGAUCAAUAUAUCAAUUGUUUAUUCAACUGAAGAGUCAAUUUCAAAGUCAAAUCUCAGUUCUUAUGGUUCCAAGAUUCAAAAUUGAAAAAGAUUCACAUGAAGAUGGGUUCAAUAUGAGUUUUGAUGACGAGUUUUUGAUGUGUCCGAAUUUGAUUUUGAUAGUUUUUGGUGUUGAUAUGGAUCUGUUUUGAAUUGAGAACAAAAACGUGAAAGAAGAACUAUGAGCGAUGGUUUGAAAUUGAAUGAUCAAGAACAAUUGACGGAUGUAUGAAGAACAGAUGAUGGAUGCAAAGUCAAGCAAAAUGGAAUUUGGACUAAUCGUUUUUAGAUUUGCAUAUUUUGAUGUCGAUUAUUGCGAAUUUGGUUUGUGCAAGUUCGCAUCUAGGUCUCAAGAAUAAUGUUUCAUUUGAUGACUGGGUUGGUAUAAAAGUGUUUCAUUCGCAUUUGGGUCUUAUUUUUGGGUUCGCAUAUUGAUCUUGUUUUGAAUUGAAGAUUUAUUUUGACGAUCAAAACUUGGAUUGUGAAUGAAAUGCGAACAAUCGAUGGGUAUAAGGAUGUGAUAUGAAGUUCGCAUUUGUCUUCAACAGCAGUUCGCAUUUGAUUAACUGGAUUGAAUGUUCGCAAAUAGUGAUAUGGUUCGCAAUUUGGAAGUAAAACAGGAAGUUCAUUCACAAUCUCUUAUGUUAUGAAGAUAUUCGCAUCUGGGUUUCAAAACUAAUUUUUGCAUUUAGUUAAAGAGAAAACAUUGGAUUCGCAUUUGGUUAUAGUGAUUGUGUUCGCAUAUUUGGUUAAUUGGGUGAAAGAUGCGAAGCAUUUGUAAGGGGCAUGCGAAUGACGAUGCGAAGUUUUUACUGGUUAAUGAAUUGGGAAGAAGAAAAGAAAUAUUUUCGAAUUGGGUCCCUGAUCUUCUCACGAAAUGACACAAUUGGUCCAACUUCGCAAAUGGGGUUAUAAAAUGACAAAAAUGCAGAAUUUCCAUUUCGCAUCCCUUUAGUCUUCGCAAGAUGAUAAAUUUUACCCAAUUUCGCAUUUGGGGUAAAAAUUUUGAGAAAUGGGAAUAUUUUCGAAUAUGGUCCCUGCAGUUUGUGCGAAUUUGCACAUUCUACCCAGUUUCGCAAAUGGGGGUGUGUUUUGCAUAUUUGGCUAUUUUUGGCGCAUCGGGUCACUGCAGAAUUUUGAAAUUGACAAUUUCUACCCAUUUUUGAAGCACAAAGUUUAUGCCACAUGUUAAGGGGGAUUUUGACAUGAAAAUUUCCGAAUAGAGCAUGUUCUUUUUCCUUGAAGUUUUAUAAUCAAAUUUCGAUUAUAAAAAGAGGAGAAGUUUUAUAUGGAAAUUCGAACUUGAAUUUUUCAUAUCACGCUGAUUUGAAGACCGAAGUGAUCUUGAAGUUUUGAAGCCUACAAGAUGAUGCAAUUGGAAAUUAGGAAGUGAUGUAUUCGAAAUGGGUUUGGUUUAUUGAAGAUUUUUGGGGUGUGUUUUUAUGCGCAACUUUGGCUGAUUAUUUGGAGUUUGGAAUACUCUUGAUCAUUCGUUGCUGCUCGGUUUGUAUGUUCUCACGUCCUAGAGCCCAAAUUGAAGAAUCAUGGAACAAUUGAAGAUUGAAGUUUGUUUCGACAUGUGUCACCUUUGAGGCUCAAACAGCGUAGUGGUUGAUUUUGGAAGAUUUGAAGUGGGUCAUUCAUUCCAAACUUUGAGGGGGAGAAUGUUAGGGUACAAAGUUUUCCAUGAAUGACUUUGUACUGUUUGACUUUUGUAAAACCCACUUGCAUCUGGAGUAUUUGCCUUUAGACCCAUUUGUUUGUCAGAGUGAGAGAGAGACAUGUAAACACCUCUAUAAAUAGUGGGUUCAUACCACUUGUAGAGGUGUGCUUGAGAGAUGGAUCUACAUCCUUUUUGUGUAACACCAUAUACAAUCAAUACAUCUCUUAAACACCCAAAUCACCAUGUUCAAUUGUGUAAACUUUAAUUCCACAUUCCAAACCAUGUUCUUUGUCACUACAAUUGGUAUCAGAGCGGGUCUUCAAGAUCAAGGUGAUUUUGAAGAACGAUUCUUAGUUUGGCAACAUUUGUCGCAAUUUGAACAAUUUUGGUGAGUCUCUCUCUAUGAUCUUUCUUAAUUUCAUUGAAUUCGUGCAUUGCAUUUUUGAUUUGUGAUCGUUUGACUCAUUGGAUCAAAUUUUUCUUGAAAAACCCAUUUGUUGUGAUCCAAUAUUUUUUUUAGAUCAAGGUCCGAUCCAAUUUCAUAUUUGUUCAUUUGAUUUGAUUCUCAAACUGUGAUUGUUAGUUUGAAUCGAGAUUUAAGCCCAAAAUUCGUUUUGAUUCAAUCAUUUUCUUGAUUUAGCCCAAAAGUAUUUUGUGAUCCAUUUUUCGAAAUCUACUGUUCAUAAAUCAUUUGAGCCGAAAAUUGUUAACCUGUUACUGUUCAUUGAUCAAUUAUUGGGAGCCCAAUUAAUUCUUUUAAAAGAUCUGAUAUCGUUGAUUGAGAUCGGAAGUCAUCAAUUGGGAUUAUUCUAAAAACACUGUUUCGAGAUCGACUUGUACCUUUGCUUAUCGAGUUGUACCAUCGAAGACUUAUGUCUCAGAUCACAAUCGAAAUUGUUCUUGAAGUAUAAUCGUAUUGUUUCAUCUUUGAUUGAUUCUUUCAGAUGUUCAAAUAUUCAUCUGUUGUCGCUUAUUUUAAGAUCGCUUCUUCCAUCUGACUAUCAAUAUUUGUUUGAUCUCUAAAUUGGAAUCGAAAUUGAUGUGUUCGUUCACUUAUUAUCAUAUGUUUGUGUUCAUAUGAAUCCAGUUUAAUCAAUUCAUUCUUAUCGAUCGAUCGUUGUUGAUUGAAUUCAUCUUGUGAAUCGAUUCAUUACAUUGACUUUAAUCUCAAAAAUCGAUUAUGAUCAAGAUAUCAAUUGUUGAUUCAAUUGAAGAGUCAAUUUCAAAGUCAAAUCUCAGUUCUUAUGGUUCCAAGAUUCAAAAUUUGAAAAAGAUUCAGAUGAAGAUGGGUUCAAUUUGAGUUUUGAUGACGAGUUUUUGAUGUGUCUGAAUUUGAUUUUGAUAGUUUUUGGUGUUGAUAUGGAUCUGUUUUGAAUUGAGAACAAAAACGUGAAAGAAGAACUAUGAGCGAUGGUUUGAAAUUGAAUGAUCAAGAACAAUUGACGAAUGUAUGAAGAACAGAUGAUCGAUGCGAAGUCAAGCAAAAUGGAAUUUGGACUAAUCGUUUUUAGAUUCACAUAUUUUGAUGUCGAUUAGUGCGAAUUUGGUUUGUGCAAGUUCCCAUCUGGGUCUCAAGAAUAAUGUUUCAUUUGAUGACUGGGUUGGUAUAAAAGUGUUUCAUUCGCAUCUGGGUCUUAUUUUUGGGUUCGCAUAGUGAUCUUGUUUUGAAUUGAAGAUUUGUUUUGACGAACAAAACUUGGAUUGUGAAUGAAAUGCGAACAAUCGAUGGGUAUAAGGAUGCGAUAUGAAGUUCGCAUUUGCCUUCAACCGCAGUUCGCAAAUAGUGAUAUGGUUCGCAAUUUGGAAGUAAAACAGGAAGUUCAUUCGCAAUCUGUUAUGUUAUGGAGAUAUUCGCAUCUGGGUUUCAAAACUAAUUUUUGCAUUUAUGGAUUGGAUUUCGCAUUUGGUGAUACAGUUGAUUUGUUGNUUGGAUUCGCAUUUGGUUAUAGUGAUUGUGUUCGCAUAUUUGGUUAAUUGGGUGAAAGAUGCGAAGCAUUUGUCAGGGGCGUGCGAAUGACGAUGCGAAGUUUUCACUGGUUAAUGAAUUGGGAAGAAAAAACAAAUAUUUUCGAAUCGGGUCCCUGAUCUUUUCAUGAAAUUACACAAUUGGUCCAACUUCGCCAAUGGGGUUAUAAAAUGACAAAAAUGUAGAAUUUCCAUUUCGCAUCCCUGUAGUAUUUGCAAUAUGAUACAUUUUACCCAGUUUCGCAUUUGGGGUAAAAAUUUUGAGAAAUGGGAAUAUUUUCGAAUCUGGUCCCUGCAGUUUGUGCGAAUUUACACAUUCUACCCAUUUUCGCAAAUGGGGGUGUGUUUCGCAUAUUUGACUGUUUUUGGCGCAAUGGGUCACUGUAGAACUUUGAAAUUGACAAUUUCUACCCAUUUUUGAAAAUUUUUGUCAAAGGCGAUCUGUGAACGAAGCUAAAAAAAAUUCAAUAUUUUUUGGAUUUUCCGGAUUGAAGCACAAAGUUUAUGCCACAUGUUAAGGGGGAUUUUGACAUGAAAAAUUCCGAAUAGAGCAUGUUCUUUUUCCUUGGAGUUUUAUAAUCAAAUUUCGAUUAUAAAAAGGGGGAGAAGUUUUAUAUGGAAAUUCGAACUUGAAUUUUUCAUAUUACGUGGAUUUGAAGAACGAUGUGAUCUUGAAGUUUUGAAGCCUACGAGAUGAUGCAAUUGGAAGUUCGGAAGUGAUGUAUUCGAAAUGGGUUUGGUUUAUUGAAGAUUUUUGGGGUGUGUUUUUAUGCGCAACUUUAGGUGAUUAUUUGGAGUUUGGAAUACUCUUGAUCAUUCGUUGCUGCUCGGUUUGUAUGGUCUCACAUCCUAGAGCCCAAAUUGAAGAGUCAUGGAAGAAUUGAAGAUUGAAGUUUGUUUCGACAUGUGUCACCUCUGUGGCUCGAACCGCGUAGUGCUUGAUUUUUGAAGAUUUGAAGUGGUUCAUUCACUCCUAACUUUGAGGGGAGUAUGUUAGGGUACAAAGUUUUCCAUGAAUGAAUUUGUAAUGUUUGAAUUUUGUAAAACCCACUUGCAUCUGGAGUAUUUUCCUUUAGACCCAUUUGUUUUUGUUAGAGUGAGAGAGAGACAUGUAAACACCUUUAUAAAUAGUGGGUUCAUACCACUUGUAGAGGUAUGCUUGAGAGAUGUAAAAGUAAGCGUGUAAGUGUGUGUUAUUUAUGUAGUCUAGAUCUAGAUCCUUUUUGUAUAACACCAUAUACAAUCAAUACAUCUCUUAAACACCCAAAUCACCAUGUUCAAUUGUGCAAACUUAAAUUCAGAAUGCCAAACCAUGUUCUUUGUCACUACAGAGAUCGCUGACUUUAGGGCACAUGAAAGGGAUGCCACCAAGGUGGCAUGCAUCAUGAGGGCCACUAUGACAGCCGACCUCCAAAAGUCCUAUGAGGAAUUCUACCCUUUUGAAAUGCACCAAGAUUUGAUGGAAAGAUACCAUCGAACUGCAAGACAAGAGAGGUAUGAAAUCAUCUCCUCCAUGAUAACAACCCGAAUGAAGGAUGGUGAACCCAUCACGGGCCACAUACAGAAAAUGCAAAGAUUUGUGGACCGUUUGCUGAAGCUUAAUGUGAACUUCCCCGAGGAGCUUGCAAUAGAUAUCAUUUUGCACUCCUUACCUUCAUGUUAUGAUCAAUUCCGCAUGACAUACCACAUGAACAAGGAAGAGGUCACUAUCAGCAAACUUCAAGGACUCUUAAAGACCAUGAAAAGUGGUCUUAAGGGUAAGACGGUUGUUACUACUCCUACUCCUACCAACUCCACCCCUGUCUUGGCAAUCGGGAAAGGACUAGGGAAGAAGAGAAAGAGUUCUUCGAAGGGUACCAAGGCUAGGACCCUUGAAGGAUCUUCUUCAAGUGGAACCAAGAAAGUUUCAUCACUCCUUCUUCUGACCCAAAAGAGGCUGAAUGCUUCUAUUGCCAUGAAAAGGCACAAUGGAAGCGGAACUGCCCAAACUACCAGCAAGAUGUGAAGGAUGGGAAAGUCAAACCCAACAAUGCAGGUAUUUACGCUAUCUUAUCUAAUAACUCACCCCAUUCUAAUUCAUGGGUCCUUGAUACCGGUUGUGGUAUUUAUAUAUGUUCUGAUUUACAAGGACUAAGAAGAAGUGAGAAUGUUGAGCAAGGAAGAAUAAACUUGAUCAUGGUAAACAGUAAAGCUUCACCUAUCCCCAAGAUUGGAGUUUAUACUUUAUCACUAAGUAGUGGGUUUAGUUUAGAUUUGAAUAAAUGUUGUUAUUCGCCAGAAAUGGCAAGACAUAUUAUUUCCUUUCAUGUAUUGUAUAAACAAUGUUUUACCUUUUCAUUUGAUAAUGAAGUUGGUUCGAUUAAUGCUUUCUUUAACAAUAGUCUUUAUUUUAAAGCAUUACCUUAUGAUGGUGUGUAUGAAACUGUAUUUGUGGCUGAUAACUUAGGAAAUAAUGUUUUGUUUAUUGAUUCUUCGAAUAAUAAUAACUUGGAUAAAGCAUCAUUAUGGCAUUGUCGUCUUGGACAUAUAAGCAAGAAACGCAUAGGCCAACUCCAAAAGGAUGGAGUCUUCGACUCAUUUGACCUAAAGUCAGAUGAUAGUUGCGAAUCAUGCUUACUUGGAAAAAUGACAAAGUCUCCCUUCACAGGUUCUUGUGAGAGGGGUGAAGGUUUGUUGGAUCUUGUACACACGGAUGUGUGUGGACCAUUCAAACAUGCCACAAGGGAUGCUAAUCAUUAUUAUUUGACUUUUAUUGAUGAUUACAGUAGAUAUGGAUAUGUCUACUUAAUCAAGCAUAAGUCAGAGACUUUCGAAAGGUUUAAGGAAUUUAAACAGGAAGUCGAGAAUCAAUCGGGCAGGAACAUUAAGAUGCUUCGAUCCGAUCGAGGUGGUGAGUAUCUUAGUUCAAAGUCCCUCGACUAUCUUAGGGAAUGUGGGAUUGUCUCACAAUUGACACCUCCCAUGACACCGCAGUUGAAUGGUGUAGCUGAGAGGCAAAAUCGAACCUUGUUGGAUAUGGUUCAUUCCAUGAUGAGUCGAGCUUCGCUACCACUCUCAUUUUGGGGGUAUGCCUUAGAGACUGCCGCCCAUAUCCUUGAUCUAGUCCCUACAAAGAAAGAUGCCAAAACUCCUCAUGAGAUGUGGACUGGUAGAGUACCCAAACUAGACCACAUCAAGAUUUGGGGUUGCGAGGCUUUCGUGAGGCACGAGUCUCAUGAUAAGCUAGAACCCCGAAGCGAGAGGUGUAUUUUCAUCAGCUACCCACAAAGAUCCUUUGGUGUUACCUCUUCUACAGACAUAGUGAU